rnacentral:rRNA from 1 species
AUUGAACGCUGGCGGCAGGCCUAACCCAUGCAAGUCGAACGAGUGGCGGACGGGUGAGUAAUGUCUGGGAAACUGCCCGAUGGAGGGGGAUAACUACUGGAAACGGUCGCUAAUACCGAAGCCCAGCGGAUGUGCCCAGAUGGGAUUAGCUAGGAGGUGGGGUAACGGCUCACCUAGGCGACGGUCCCUAGCUGGUCUGAGAGGAUGACCAGCCACACUGGAACUGCGACCAGUGCCAGACUCCUACGGGAGGCAGCAUUGGGGAAUAUUGCACAAUGGGCGCAAGCCUGAUGCAGCCAUGCCGCGUGUAUGAAGAAGGCCUUCGGGUUGUAAAGUACUUUCAGCGAGGAGGCGUUACUCGCAGAAGAAGCACCGGCUAACUCCGUGCCAGCAGCCGCGGUAAUAC